rnacentral:rRNA from 1 species
UUAAAGUCAGUUGUGAGAGUUUGCGGCUCAACCGUAAAAUUGCAGUUGAUACUGGCAGUCUUGAGUGCAGUAGAGGUGGGCGGAAUUCGUGGUGUAGCGGUGAAAUGCUUAGAUAUCACGAAGAACUCCGAUUGCGAAGGCAGCUCACUGGAGUGUAACUGACGCUGAUGCUCGAAAGUGUGGGUAUCAAACAGGAUUAGAUACCCUGGUAGUCCACACAGUAAACGAUGAAUACUCGCUGUUUGCGAUAUACAGUAAGCGGCCAAGCGAAAGCAUUAAGUAUUCCACCUGGGGAGUACGCCGGCAACGGUGAAACUCAAAGGAAUUGACGGGGGCCCGCACAAGCGGAGGAGCAUGUGGUUUAAUUCGAUGAUACGCGAGGAACCUUACCCGGGCUUAAAUUGCAAAUGAAUUAUGGGGAAACCCAUACGCCGCAAGGCAUUUGUGAAGGUGCUGCAUGGUUGUCGUCAGCUCGUGCCGUGAGGUGUCGGCUUAAGUGCCAUAACGAGCGCAACCCUUAUCUUCAGUUACUAACAGGUCAUGCUGAGGACUCUGGAGAGACUGCCGUCGUAAGAUGUGAGGAAGGUGGGGAUGACGUCAAAUCAGCACGGCCCUUACGUCCGGGGCUACACACGUGUUACAAUGGGGGGUACAGAAGGCCGCUACCUGGUGACAGGAUGCCAAUCCCAAAAACCUCUCUCAGUUCGGAUCGAAGUCUGCAACCCGACUUCGUGAAGCUGGAUUCGCUAGUAAUCGCGCAUCAGCCAUGGCGCGGUGAAUACGUUCCCGGGCCUUGUACACACCGCCCGUCAAGCCAUGAAAGCCGGGGGUACCUGAAGUACGUAACCGCAAGGAGCGUCCUAGGGUAAAACUGGUAAUUGGGGCUAAGU